CUCCUCCAGACGAACGCUGGCGGCGUGCUUAACACAUGCAAGUCGAACGGAAAGGCCCCCUUGUGGGGUACUCGAGUGGCGAACGGGUGAGUAACACGUGAGUAACCUACCCUUGACUUUGGGAUAACUUCAGGAAACUGGGGCUAAUACCGGAUAGGAGCUCCUGCUGCAUGGUGGGGGUUGGAAAGUUUCGGCGGUUGGGGAUGGACUCGCGGCUUAUCAGCUUGUUGGUGGGGUAGUGGCUCACCAAGGCUUUGACGGGUAGCCGGCCUGAGAGGGUGACCGGCCACAUUGGGACUGAGAUACGGCCCAGACUCCUACGGGAGGCAGCAGUGGGGAAUAUUGCACAAUGGGCGGAAGCCUGAUGCAGCAACGCCGCGUGCGGGAUGACGGCCUUCGGGUUGUAAACCGCUUUCGCCUGUGACGAAGCGUGAGUGACGGUAAUGGGUAAAGAAGCACCGGCUAACUACGUGCCAGCAGCCGCGGUGAUACGUAGGGUGCGAGCGUUGUCCGGAUUUAUUGGGCGUAAAGGGCUCGUAGGUGGUUGAUCGCGUCGGAAGUGAAAUCUUGGGGCUUAACCCUGAGCGUGCUUUCGAUACGGGUUGACUUGAGGAAGGUAGGGGAGAAUGGAAUUCCUGGUGGAGCGGUGGAAUGCGCAGAUAUCAGGAGGAACACCAGUGGCGAAGGCGGUUCUCUGGACCUUUCCUGACGCUGAGGAGCGAAAGCGUGGGGAGCGAACAGGCUUAGAUACCCUGGUAGUCCACGCUGUAAACGGUGGGUACUAGGUGUGGGGUCCAUUCCACGGAUUCCGUGCCGUAGCUAACGCUUUAAGUACCCCGCCUGGGGAGUACGGCCGCAAGGCUAAAUCAG
rnacentral:rRNA from 2 species